GCUCAUUAAAGUUUUCCCAUAGAUAAUAGGCAUAAAGAUACCUUUGACUAUCUUACGAGCGAGGUGACCACAAACCACCGUUGAUAGAUGUUGAUCACCCUCCAAUUCCGUUUUCAUGAACUCCUUGAGUAUAAAGGGAUUAACCCGAUUCCCUCCGAAGGCUCCUGAGAAAGUUAUUUCAGCCUGUCAGGCAGUUAAAGGCAAUUCACACUUGAAGUUAUGACAAUGAUUGUUAUUUUCUUUCUUUUUUCUAAAGCCUAUAAACUAACUAAGAGAGACUUUCAUUGGAAUUGUACCACUUGUGAUUAGGAAAUUCCUUCUUGAAUCUUUAGUAAUAGCUCUCCGGAGAAUCUCUUGACUAGUCAAUCGACGGUCUAUUUUACCUUUUGUUUUGGUGGAGACUAGACGAAAGCGCCCCUGCUGGGUGCAUCCAAGGCAGUCCAAGUAGAAAAUUGUAUCUUGCCGGAAUGUCCAAGACCUGGAAAGUGAUCUCGAACGUGUAAGGACCCAUUUAUACUGGUAAAUCAACCUCUUGCUACACGAUUU
rnacentral:lncRNA from 1 species